CCUGGCUCACGAUUAACGCUGGCGGCGCGCCUAACACAUGCAAGUCGAACGAUAGAUGAGGAGCUUGCUCUUCAAAUCGAGUGGCGAACGGGUGAGUAACGCGUGAGGAACCUGCCUCAAAGAGGGGGACAACAGUUGGAAACGACUGCUAAUACCGCAUAAGCCCACGGCUCGGCAUCGAGCAGAGGGAAAAGGAGCAAUCCGCUUUGAGAUGGCCUCGCGUCCGAUUAGCUAGUUGGUGAGGUAACGGCCCACCAAGGCGACGAUCGGUAGCCGGACUGAGAGGUUGAACGGCCACAUUGGGACUGAGACACGGCCCAGACUCCUACGGGAGGCAGCAGUGGGGAAUAUUGCACAAUGGGGGAAACCCUGAUGCAGCGACGCCGCGUGGAGGAAGAAGGUCUUCGGAUUGUAAACUCCUGUUGUUGAGGAAGAUAAUGACGGUACUCAACAAGGAAGUGACGGCUAACUACGUGCCAGCAGCCGCGGUAAAACGUAGGUCACAAGCGUUGUCCGGAAUUACUGGGUGUAAAGGGAGCGCAGGCGGGAGAACAAGUUGGAAGUGAAAUCCAUGGGCUCAACCCAUGAACUGCUUUCAAAACUGUUUUUCUUGAGUAGUGCAGAGGUAGGCGGAAUUCCCGGUGUAGCGGUGGAAUGCGUAGAUAUCGGGAGGAACACCAGUGGCGAAGGCGGCCUACUGGGCACCAACUGACGCUGAGGCUCGAAAGUGUGGGUAGCAAACAGGAUUAGAUACCCUGGUAGUCCACACCGUAAACGAUGAUUACUAGGUGUUGGAGGAUUGACCCCUUCAGUGCCGCAGUUAACACAAUAAGUAAUCCACCUGGGGAGUACGACCGCAAGGUUGAAACUCAAAGGAAUUGACGGGGGCCCGCACAAGCAGUGGAGUAUGUGGUUUAAUUCGACGCAACGCGAAGAACCUUACCAAGUCUUGACAUCCCUUGACGAUGCUGGAAACAGUAUUUCUCUUCGGAGCAAGGAGACAGGUGGUGCAUGGUUGUCGUCAGCUCGUGUCGUGAGAUGUUGGGUUAAGUCCCGCAACGAGCGCAACCCUUAUGGUCAGUUACUACGCAAGAGGACUCUGGCCAGACUGCCGUUGACAAAACGGAGGAAGGUGGGGAUGACGUCAAAUCAUCAUGCCCUUUAUGACUUGGGCUACACACGUACUACAAUGGCGUUAAACAAAGAGAAGCAAGACCGCGAGGUGGAGCAAAACUCAGAAACAACGUCCCAGUUCGGACUGCAGGCUGCAACUCGCCUGCACGAAGUCGGAAUUGCUAGUAAUCGUGGAUCAGCAUGCCACGGUGAAUACGUUCCCGGGCCUUGUACACACCGCCC
rnacentral:rRNA from 1 species